rnacentral:ncRNA from 1 species
GAAAAUGCUAUGAAGGGAAACAAAGCUUGUGUGAGUUUUCACAGAGAGCCGACGGCUGGUGAAAGUCGGCAGACAAAUACAGGUCAUAACUCCUCCCCGAGCAGCCGUCCCAAAGGCGCAGACCGCGUCAAGUAGGCACGGACGGGCUCUCCCGUUACAGAGAUAUGCGUUGAUCCGACGCAGAUGAGUGGGUGUAUUCUUACAUCAAGAAGAGUGGUACCACGGAGUAUAUUGCAGCUUCGUCUCUUCC